rnacentral:rRNA from 1 species
GACGAGGGAGCGAGCGUUGUCCGGAAUUAUUGGGCGUAAAGAGCUUGUAGGCGGUUUGUCGCGUCUGCUGUGAAAUUUCGGGGGCUCAACCCCGAACUUGCAGUGGGUACGGGCAGACUAGAGUGUGGUAGGGGGAGACUGGAAUUCCUGGUGUAGCGGUGAAAAUGCGCAGAUAUCAGGAGGAACACCGGUGGCGAAGGCGGGGUCUCUGGGGCCAAAACUGACGCUGAGGGAGCGAAAAGCGUGGGGGGAGCAAAACAGG